UGGAAUUUUAUUAAUGACACGGAGGCUCAUAUUAUGCUAGUUCAAAGCUUGGCCACUACCUGAAGAGAGAUAUGUUCAAUUGGCCGAAAAUAGAAUUCUCUGAACGUCGAUACUUGCGACCAAUCAGCCGCCUUUAAUAUGUCCUCGAGGUGACAACCAAUCGUUGAUGCCUUGGAUGCCAUCGCGCCUCUCACCGAGUGUGCAGAGAAUUUCGAAGUGUCAAUUCCUGUUAAUGCUAACAGGUUCUUGACCCAACGAGCUAACGUGGGUGUGGACACUGGUAGAAAAGGGGUUCGAAAGGAUAUAAAUAAUUGACUUGAUUCAGGUGAGCGUAACCUCUGAGUACGAUCCAGGUAGGACCGAAGGCAUCUGACCGGGCAUGGUGAAGGAUGUCCUGGGUAUCUCAGGUAAGAGAUAGAUUUUGUAUUGCCUUUAGUUCGUCUCGAUAUGGAGAAUGAUACGCCCUCUGGGGUGAAUGACAAUGCGUCCCAGUCCAAGGCUCGCACGUCCGAUAUCCUCUUGCAGGACAGUAAGCAUAACAGAGUCAGCAGUUUCCAAGACAGGUGUUUAAGGGAGAGUUCCUCAUUUGGCAUCCAUUCUUCCAGGAAGUGCAAGACAAUGUUGACAUCCCAGAAUGAAGAAUAGCGGGUCUGUGGAGGUUUCUCAAAGCGUAUCCCCUU